CGAUAAGCUUGAUUCCUACGGGAGGCAGCAGCAAGGAAUCUUGGGCAAUGGGCGGAAGCUUGACCCAGCGACACCGCGUGAGGGAAGAAGGCCUUCGGGUUGUAAACCUCUUUUCUUGGGGAAGAAUUCUGACGGUACCCAGGGAAUAAGCCUCGGCUAACUACGUGCCAGCAGCCGCGGUAAUA
rnacentral:rRNA from 1 species